rnacentral:rRNA from 1 species
UACAGAGGGUGCAAGCGUUGUUCGGAAUUAUUGGGCGUAAAGCGCGUGUAGGCGGCUUUGUAAGUCAGUGGUGAAAUGCCGCAGCUCAACUGCGGAACUGCCAUUGAUACUGCUUAGCUUGAAUCACGUCGAGGUGGAUGGAAUAUUACAUGUAGCGGUGAAAAUGCUUAGAUAUGUAAUAGAACACCGAUUGCGAAGGCAGUUCACUAGGCGUGUAUUGACACUGAGGCACGAAAAGCGUGGGGGGAUCAAAACAGGG